rnacentral:rRNA from 1 species
GGUGUAGCGGUGAAAUGCUUAGAUAUCACGAAGAACUCCGAUUGCGAAGGCAGCUUACUAACCUGUAACUGACAUUGAUGCUCGAAAGUGUGGGUAUCAAACAGGAUUAGAUACCCUGGUAGUCCACACGGUAAACGAUGAAUACUCGCUGUUUGCGAUAUACAGCAAGCGGCCAAGCGAAAGCGUUAAGUAUUCCACCUGGGGAGUACGCCGGCAACGGUGAAACUCAAAGGAAUUGACGGGGGCCCGCACAAGCGGAGGAACAUGUGGUUUAAUUCGAUGAUACGCGAGGAACCUUACCCGGGCUUAAAUUGCAACCGAAUAUGGCGGAAACGCUAUAGCUAGCAAUAGCGGUUGUGAAGGUGCUGCAUGGUUGUCGUCAGCUCGUGCCGUGAGGUGUCGGCUUAAGUGCCAUAACGAGCGCAACCCUUGCCGAUAGUUACUAACAGGUUAUGCUGAGGACUCUGUCGGGACUGCCAUCGUAAGAUGUGAGGAAGGUGGGGAUGACGUCAAAUCAGCACGGCCCUUACGUCCGGGGCUACACACGUGUUACAAUGGGGGGUACAGAGGGCUGCUACCACGCAAGUGGAUGCCAAUCCCAAAAACCUCUCUCAGUUCGGAUUGAAGUCUGCAACCCGACUUCAUGAAGCUGGAUUCGCUAGUAAUCGCGCAUCAGCCACGGCGCGGUGAAUACGUUCCCGGGCCUUGUACACACCGCCCGUCAAGCCAUGGGAGCCGGGGGUACCUGAAGUGCGUAACCGCAAGGAGCGCCCUAGGGUAAAACUGGUGACUGGGGCUAAGUCGUAACAAGGUAGC